rnacentral:rRNA from 1 species
GAGUUUGAUCAUGGCUCAGGAUGAACGCUGGCGGCGUGCCUAACACAUGCAAGUCGAACGGAGUUCUUAAGGAAUGCGGCUUCGGCCAAAUGACUUUUGAACUUAGUGGCGGACGGGUGAGUAACGCGUGAGCAACCUGCCUUUCAGAGGGGGAUAACAUUUGGAAACAGAUGCUAAUACCGCAUAAGAUUACAGUACCGCAUGAUACAGUGAUCAAAGGAGCAAUCCGCUGAAAGAUGGGCUCGCGUCCGAUUAGAUAGUUGGUGAGGUAACGGCUCACCAAGUCGACGAUCGGUAGCCGGACUGAGAGGUUGAACGGCCACAUUGGGACUGAGACACGGCCCAGACUCCUACGGGAGGCAGCAGUGGGAACAUUGCACAAUGGGCGAAAGCCUGAUGCAGCAACGCCGCGUGAGGGAGACGGUUUCGGAUUGUAACCUCUGUUUCGUGACGACAAAUGACGGUAACCGAGUAGGAAGCCACGGCUAACUACGUGCCAGCAG